CACGUAGGGCGCAAGCGUUGUCCGGAAUUAUUGGGCGUAAAGAGCUCGUAGGCGGUCUGUUGCGUCCGCUGUGAAAACUCGGGGCUUAACCCCGAGCCUGCAGUGGAUACGGGCAGACUAGAGGUAGGUAGGGGAGAAUGGAAUUCCCGGUGUAGCGGUGAAAUGCGCAGAUAUCGGGAGGAACACCGGUGGCGAAGGCGGUUCUCUGGGCCUUACCUGACGCAGAGGAGCGAAAGCGUGGGGAGCGAACAGG
rnacentral:rRNA from 1 species